GGGGAUCACUCCGCUGCAGCGACCCCUGAUAAAGGGAAUAAGCCGAAAGAGACAGAGAAUUUUCCGUAUGGUUUCACAGGUGAUCACGAACCCAAACCACCCCAGACCCCCGUUGAUUCUACUUAAAGCCACAUGAGGGUGGUGUAUAAGGAGUGCAGUCAUUCCAGAUGGCCUCAUUGCUUCAUUCUUGGCCUGCCAAACAGACGUUAUAGCAAUCCAGCUGAUGAUAGAUCCUCAUUCAGCCGCCCUCCUGCAUAGAUGAAUUCGGGAGAACUGUAAAUGAGGACUGACAUAUGUGCUUAUUCCAAACGCUAGAAAGUUGUGCCCUGUGGCAGGCAGAACAGUUUAGAGGAGAAAAGCUUAUUUUGAGAUGCCAUGACGUGUUCUCUGAAUAGCUUGCAGUGCCUGUUAGCAGACUCCGAGCAUUAAGUACCCUGUGAAGACUUUGUGUCUGUGAAAUCACUUUUUUCCGGCUGGGUGAGAUGGAGAACAUUGUUAUUGGAAAGGCGAAAAGCUGAGAAAUCUACCGAAUACAGAUAUUUUCAGAAACCGUACUUUAGCUUUGUAUCCGAGCAGAUAGUUUCUUCU